rnacentral:misc_RNA from 1 species
UUAUUUUUCCAGUAAAAAUAGGUAAAAAUAGCCAUUUAUUACUGAGCAAUUUAUUGGUAGGUACCGCAGCGGUAAGUUCUAAGCUCCAUGUACAAUGUCGAUAAACAUUUUAUUGUUAAAUAUUUUGUUUUUGUUGUAAUAUUUAACUUGCCGACAUUAUUUUGUCUGUUGUAAUCUUGCACGUAUUUCUUGCAAAUCUUUUACCUCCGCCGCUACAGUACCUACAUUGGCUACAGUAGAGGUAUUUAUAAAAAAAAAUGUAAACAUUUAUUUAUAAUUUUAUCCUAGUUAGCUAUUUUAUUUAAGUUCAAAGUGACAUUUAAGAUAAUAAUUAGGUCGCCGUUAUAACAUUUUGUAUCGUUAACAGGAAUGUUGAAGAUACAAAAUGUUAUAUAGGCUGUAUGGUCAACGAUCUUUGCCUGUCCCCGAAAUGUUGUUGGGGACAAAUUAAAAAAAAAACAUACAAACGUCUAAGUUGUCAAUUGUCAUUGUACGAAUGUAGUAAUUUACUCUGUGUCUGACGUCUGUUUUGUAUCUGUCCGCCGCGCAAAUUUUUUUCCGGUCGUGCGUUGAAGCGCAAUACAAGCAAAUUUUUUCAACUUGCUGAUUAAAAAUAAGGAGAGCUGCUCUAUCAUUUUUUUUUUAACUGUUGGACGACGCCAUUUAUAUAAAUAAUGCACCGCGAAGAAAGCCGGCGGGAGGUCGUGCCAGCGAUGCGCGACGAGCGCGACAUCGGUCGGCCCGUCGCGCUCCCGCCCAAAAAUGGUCAAUUUGCAAAUAAAAAUGCCCGCCUCAGGAGCUUCGAAGGCUGGCCGCAAAACAUGCGCCAGACGCCGGAGGAGCUUGCUGAGGCAGGCUUUUUUUAUACGGGAAACGAGGACGCAGUUCUAUGCUUCCACUGUGAUGGGGGCUUAAAAGGGUGGAAGAGGGGGGACCAACCCUGGGCCCAACAUGCCCAGUGGUUUGAUCGGUGCCCAUUUUUGGCCCAGGCAAAGGGCAAAAUUUACAUCAAAAAGAUGUGGAAGGAAGCUCGCGGCAUUCCCACGAACGCCCGUUGUGUCUAUGUCGCGAGUUUCUGGGAGGACAACUUGCUACCACAGGUGCAUUCGGGUACCAACCAUGAGUGGAUUUACAACAUGUUGGACCUGAGAUUAUUUCCCCCAGAAUAAUUCUUUAUUCCAUGGGAAAUUAAUCAGGUCCAUCAUAUUAUAGAUCCACUCAUGGUAUUAAAAACCUUCUAGUGUUGUAGACCAAUAACUAAAGAUAAAUUAGAGUGAUUUAAAAACUCAAUUACUUCUAAAAAUAAAAGUUUGCAUUUGAAAACAGUCAUCCAGACAUGCUUUUUGAUGCACCUUUCAAAACAAUAGAUAGAGUUCUUUAGUUUUUGUAUACAGUUUUUAAAAUAUUUAAAAUCAACAUAAUUAUUAAAAUUUUGACAUCCUCAAAUACAAACUUUUCAUAAUUUCAAAUUACCUAUAAAAAAACUUGUGUUCAUGUGUAUAAAAAACCUUCUAGUGUUCUAGACCAAUAACUAAAGGUAAAUUAGAGCGAUUUAAGAACACAAUUAGUUCUAAAACUACAAUUUUUGCAUUUGAAAACAGUCAUCCAGACAUUGCUUUUCGGUACACCUUUUAGAACAAUACAUAACAUUCUUUAGUUUUUGUAUACAAUUUUUAAAAUAUUUAAAAUCAUAAGAUAUAAUUAUUGAAAUUAUCCAAUUUUCAAUAUUACCCGAAUGCACCUUAUGGUACGAGUAUGUUGUAACAUGUUUUGAUGUAAAUUUUGUCCUGUCCCUCCUCCUCCAUCCUUUAAACCUUCUAGUGUUCUAGACCAAUAACUAAAGGUAAAAAGAGUGAUUUAAAAACUCAAUUACUUCUAAAACUACAAGUCUAGCAUUUGAAAACAGUCAUCCAGACAUGCUUUUUAGUACACCUUUCAAAACAAUAGAGUUCUUUCUCGCUAUCAAACAAGUGAAACUGCAUAAUUGUGCACUGGCAUCAGUUCACAUUUUUAGUUCUAGUGGCCUAGACGGUAUCUGAACUUUUUAUUAAAUAAACAACUAAGAAGUUCAAAUAAAUCUAAAUUGUAUGUACCAAACUUCAUA